UACGUAGGGGGCAAGCGUUGUCCGGAUUUAUUGGGCGUAAAGAGCGUGUAGGCGGCCUGCUAGGUCAGCUGUGAAAACUCGAGGCUCAACCUCGAGACGUCGGUUGAAACCAUCUGGCUAGAGUCCGGAAGAGGAGUGUGGAAUUCCCGGUGUAGCAGUGAAAUGCGUAGAGAUCGGGAGGAACACCAGUGGCGAAGGCGGCCUUCUGGACCAAUACUGACGCUCAUGCACGAAAGCGUGGGGAGCAAACAGG
rnacentral:rRNA from 1 species